UACGUAGGUGACAAGCGUUGUCCGGAUUUACUGGGCGUAAAGGGCUCGUAGGCGGUCUGUUGCGUCGGGAGUGAAAACUUACAGCUUAACUGUGAGCGUGCUUCCGAUACGGGCAGACUUGAGGUAUUCAGGGGAGAACGGAAUUCCUGGUGUAGCGGUGAAAUGCGCAGAUAUCAGGAGGAACACCGGUGGCGAAGGCGGUUCUCUGGGCCAUAACUGACGCUGAGGAGCGAAAGCAUGGGGAGCGAACAGG
rnacentral:rRNA from 1 species